GAGUUUGAUCCUGGCUCAGGACGAACGCUGGCGGCGCGCCUAACACAUGCAAGUCGAACGAGCGAGAGAGAGCUUGCUUUCUCGAGCGAGUGGCGAACGGGUGAGUAACGCGUGAGGAACCUGCCUCAAAGAGGGGGACAACAGUUGGAAACGACUGCUAAUACCGCAUAAGCCCACGGGUCGGCAUCGACCAGAGGGAAAAGGAGCAAUCCGCUUUGAGAUGGCCUCGCGUCCGAUUAGCUAGUUGGUGAGGUAAUGGCCCACCAAGGCGACGAUCGGUAGCCGGACUGAGAGGUUGAACGGCCACAUUGGGACUGAGACACGGCCCAGACUCCUACGGGAGGCAGCAGUGGGGAAUAUUGCACAAUGGGGGAAACCCUGAUGCAGCGACGCCGCGUGGAGGAAGAAGGUCUUCGGAUUGUAAACUCCUGUUGUUGGGGAAGAUAAUGACGGUACCCAACAAGGAAGUGACGGCUAACUACGUGCCAGCCGCCGCGGUAAUUC
rnacentral:rRNA from 1 species